GAUGAACGCUGGCGGCGUGCCUAACACAUGCAAGUCGAACGGAGAUUACGGACGGAAGUUUUCGGAUGGAAGACUGUAAUUCUUAGUGGCGGACGGGUGAGUAACGCGUGGGCAACCUGCCCUAUACAGGGGGAUAGCAGCUGGAAACGGCUGGUAAGACCGCAUAAGUCGGCGAGACCGCAUGGUUUUGCCGGGAAAUGAGCAAUCAGGUAUAGGAUGGGCCCGCGUCCGAUUAGCCAGUUGGCAGGGUAAAAGCCUACCAAAGCAACGAUCGGUAGCCGGACUGAGAGGUCGGACGGCCACAUUGGGACUGAGACACGGCCCAAACUCCUACGGGAGGCAGCAGUGGGGGAUAUUGCACAAUGGAGGAAACUCUGAUGCAGCGACGCCGCGUGAGUGAAGAAGUAUUUCGGUAUGUAAAGCUCUAUCAGCAGGGAAGAUGAUGACGGUACCUGACUAAGAAGCCCCGGCUAACUACGUGCCAGCAGCCGCGGUAAUACGUAGGGGGCAAGCGUUAUCCGGAUUUACUGGGUGUAAAGGGAGCGCAGGCGGUUUGGCAAGUUGAGAGUGGAAGCAGGGGGCUCAACCCCCUGACUGCUCCCAAAACUGUUAAACUUGAGUAUGGGAGAGGCAGGCGGAAUUCCUAGUGUAGCGGUGAAAUGCUUAGAUAUUAGGAAGAACACCGGUGGCGAAGGCGGCCUGCUGGACCAAAACUGACGCUGAGGCUCGAAAGCGUGGGUAGCAAACAGG
rnacentral:rRNA from 1 species